rnacentral:misc_RNA from 1 species
GAAGGAGAUGCUCUUGAUGCAUUGGGGUUGGUCCGCUAUUGCUGUAGGCGAAUGCUUAUGACUCAUGUUGACCUCAUUGAGAAGCUUUUGAACUACAAUACUCUGGAGAGAAGUGAGGGCAGUUGAAGGAGGCCAUGGAGGUUACAAGUGUUUUCAAACUAGCUAUCAAAGAUGUGUGGUGACUAUUGUGGAAAUGUAUACAAUGGAGAAGACAUUUGGGAAUGUUUAAAUAUUAUGUGAAUGUUAAUCAUUGUCGUUUUUCUGCCGUUUGAAAACCUAUACAUUAAUCUGGUGUCGGUGUUGUGAGGAACUGUUGAAAUCAUAUUGUCUGCUUCUUGUCCGACACUGUAGGAAAUCUUCUUUAAAAUAGUGAUGUUCACUAUUCUAAUGAUCAGGAUGGUCCUGCCACAGCCUUGCUGCUAGGAUCUAUGGAAAUGCAUGAAAUUAUCAUGCCCCAUUAAAUUUUGGA